rnacentral:rRNA from 1 species
CAAUAGCGUAUAUUAACGUUGUUGCAGUUAAAAAGCUCGUAGUUGGAUUUCUGGAGGGAGCGUCGGCCCGUAUUUACGAGUGCGUGACGUCUCUGUCCAUCCUUGCGGGAAGGCACGGCAUUGAUUUGUUGUGUCGGAUCGCAUCAUUUACUGUGAAAAAAUUAGAGUGUUCAAAGCAGGCUUUCGCUUGAAUACAUUAGCAUGGAAUAAUAAGAUAGGACUUUGGUGCUAUUUUGUUGGUUGAGCCUGAAGUAAUGAUUAAUAGGGAUAGUUGGGGGCACCUGUAUUGCGUUGUCAGAGGUGAAAUUCUUGGAUUUACGCAAGACAAACAGCUGCGAAAGCGUCUGCCAAGGAUGUUUUCAUUAA